rnacentral:rRNA from 1 species
GAUGAACGCUGGCGGCGUGCCUAAUACAUGCAAGUCGAGCGAACAGACGAGGAGCUUGCUCCUCUGACGUUAGCGGCGGACGGGUGAGUAACACGUGGAUAACCUACCUAUAAGACUGGGAUAACUUCGGGAAACCGGAGCUAAUACCGGAUAAUAUAUUGAACCGCAUGGUUCAAUAGUGAAAGACGGUUUUGCUAUCUCUUAUAGAUGGAUCCGCGCCGCAUUAGCUAGUUGGUAAGGUAAUGGCUUACCAAGGCAACGAUGCGUAGCCGACCUGAGAGGGUGAUCGGCCACACUGGAACUGAGACACGGUCCAGACUCCUACGGGAGGCAGCAGUAGGGAAUCUUCCGCAAUGGGCGAAAGCCUGACGGAGCAACGCCGCGUGAGUGAUGAAGGUCUUCGGAUCGUAAAACUCUGUUAUUAGGGAAGAACAAAUGUGUAAGUAACUAUGCACGUCUUGACGGUACCUAAUCAGAAAGCCACGGCUAACUACGUG